UACGUAGGGGGCGAGCGUUGUCCGAAUUCACUGGGCGUAAAGCGCGCGUAGGCGGACUUUUAAGUUGGGGGUGAAAUGCCGAGGCUCAACCUCGGAACUGCCUCCAAACCUGGGAGUCUUGAGGUAUGGAGAGGGAAGUGGAAUUCCAGGUGUAGCGGUGAUAUGCGUAGAUAUCUGGAGGUACACCCGUGGCGAAGGCUGCUUCCUGGUCAUAUCCUGACGCUGAGGUGCGAAAGCCAGGGGCGCGAUCGGG
rnacentral:rRNA from 1 species